CCUUACAAAGUCAAUCUUGCUGAUUCUCCACAGCUCAGGUAGGUCCUGGAACUGCAAGAACAUCUGCCUGAGGCUGGUAACGUUGAUGCAUGCCAGUACUGCCUGGGGAGAGAGAUAAAGGAUGAGAUAAGUGCACUUUCCUUCUUUUUUUCUCUCUCUGUCAUGCUUGUAGAGAUACACACAUAUAAACACACCUUGGGUAGGAAGUAGAACAGUGGUCCAAUCAGCAGCAGGACAACCAGAACAACCAGACUGGUAAACAAGCCAGAGAGCUGCAGGACACACGACACACAACCCUUACUGGAAAUCCCAAUGUGUCUCAUAAGCUUUGCUCCCUACUUGGGGCCUAUUCUGCAUUGUUUUGGAUAUAAAUGCACUCUUAGGUUUUAAGUAAUUUCAACUGCAUUAAAAUCGAUCAUUUUUCACAACAAUAAUCUAAGGUACAUUCUCAUACAUAACUGAACAUUGAGUUAUAGAUGGAAAAUCAGCACUUUGAAUGUUUCUGUCGUUGAAUAUAUAGGCCUGUUUUGCUGCUGUGUUUAAAGCAUUAGUCAACAACUUUUGUGAUUUGCCUUAUAUUAAGGGGCCUUUUAAUCCAUUUUAAUUUUUUCACUUGGAGUACUGAAAUUUACAUUUGAACUGACAAUUGUGCAUAGUCUACUAGUGGCUUGUUAGUGUGACUCAAGAGAAGACAUACAGAAGUUACUGUAUAGCAUGUACACUACCUGUGUGUGUCCUCCAGCACUCUCGAGUAUAUUGGUGGUGGCUAAAGUGGCUGAGCUGGGGAAGCAGGUGAAAAAAGAAGACAGUGUGUUGGAGAUGCCAUGAGCCAACAGCUCCUGCAAUGUAAAUGCAAACAGUUAACAGACUGAGUUUGUGCAUCUGUCUUACCAUAAUAAUUCCUGAGAGGAGUGCUACAGCCGAGGCCACUCCGAUCUUCUGGGCCUCAAACUCAGCCGCUUCAGACGAACUUGAGUUCAUCUCCAGAGGAGUGGGAACCAGCUGCUCCACCACAGAGCCGGUCAUCAGACUCACCACAGCAAAGGUGAAGGCAGGCUCGCCUUGAACACCUGCACUUCCCGGCGAGCUUCUCCCGGAGCCGCAAACCUCCACUCGUGUCAUCAUCGGAGCCGUAGGCCUGUUUGAAGCGGUCCUCUGUGUAAAUAUUCCUGUACACGGCCACAGAAGCACUCAUAUUGUCCCUGUAGAGAUGAGUGAUGAUGGCUCACUAUGCAAGCACUGUUGUAGAGUCAGUAAAUGUGUUGUCUGUGGCAAUACAUAUAUAGCAGAGUCUGCCCUGACCUCAAGAGCCAUUGCACUUUCCUGUCAGACUCUUCUUAGCCAAUGACAUGGCUCAAAGCUCAACCUUUUUUGUUACAGUGUUGAACAACUUUUUUCACAUCUUUGUCCUGCCUCAGUCAACAUAAAGGUGUGCUGGCCCAGUCUUUUUUUUCUACAACAUUCUUCUGGGUCCUACUGCUAAAAGGAUUUUUUUCAAUUCAAAGUAGAAAGUCAGGCCCUCAAUCCGCCUUUCCUUCACCCACAACCCCUCCCUCCAAACACACACACACACACACUGUUUGCACUGCACAGUCCUAUCCUCCCUUAUGUCCUGCCUCCCGAGAGCCACGCGGGAGGUACAAGCUCAGAGGAGGCACAAUUAAGUCAUACAAUGUACACCACUGUGAAAUGCCUAAAGAGAUCAAAGUCCUAUUGUUGGAGCUGAGGUGUAACCUCAAACCAUGUCUGUUAGCGAGGAGUUCAUUUCCGAGAAGGAUGGAUGUCUGUAAUGGUUGGGUGUUUAAGCUGUGUAGUGAUAAGGAAAGGAGUCUGCUACCCAUGAGACCCUGUGAAACUCAAUCACACAUGGCAGUCUGGUUCAUGGAUCAAACCACACCUUGACUGCUGAAUCAGAGAUUGUGUGUGAUGAGUGAGAUGUUGUUCUUUGUCAGACAGGAGUGAAUACAAGGCAGCUUUGGAUAAAUACAAGAUAAAACAGGAUACACUACGUGUCUAUUCGUCACAACAUAUUGUUUGCAAAAUGUGGCUAUUAUGUAAUCCAAAUAUAAAUUGGAUUUGAGUUUGAGUGAGUGUGAGGCAGAAGGAAAUCACAGUCUCAAGAGAGGUUCAGUCUGACUCUGGAGAAUAAACAAAGGAAAUGGAGAAUUUAUCUGUGGUGUAAGCUCAGCAUUGGGUGCUGCGAAUGAACCUCUGCGAUGAAUGACGUCUCCCAUCUCACAAGGCUACGUGAGGAAGUGCAGGCAAUGCCACAGUUUUCUAUUGUUGCACGGGACAACACCCAAGGAUUUUUACUUGAAUGGGCUCAGACCUUGGCCAGAAGGGCAGAAGGUUUAAAAAUGUACUGUACCACAUGUUGCAAAGAUGGCGAAGCAUCCAGCGUUGAAUUUGUGAAGUCGUUUUAUUUUGUUGCUGUAUGAGGUGAAAAUGUCAUAAAGCCAUAUAAUUACAA